AUUAAACUGGAAGUGUUCGGAGGAGAAGGCCAAGAGUGUUGGAUCAGCGCUGACGAGGUGGAAGAUGUGUGCGAGCUCCAUAAGAUUGGAAAUACUGUUAUGUCUCUUUGGUGCAGUUAUUUGCAAGAACACACACUUAAUCUUGGUGGGUUGAGGAAUACAUAUGCAUUUAAUAAUCCUGCUUCAGUAUCAACUGAAGCUGGUAAACUCAAACAACGUUCAGAGAAUCUAUGUCAGCGAAUGAUGGGUAUGCAACCUGAACAAUGGUUGAUAAGUCCGUGGAAUUCAGAUGAUCACUGGUUGACAAUUAUGAUUCAUGCCAAUACUCAAAGUGUUGCAUAUCUUGACUCGACGAAUGACUUUAUCCGAACUGAUAUUAUGAAAUGUAUUUAAAAUGCUGUGGACAUGUACAGGAUCGAAAAAAAUAUACGAAACAAGGGUCCAGUAAAAAUCAACCAAUACACGUGUCGACAGCAGCCGGAUGGAGUACAAUGUGGUUAUUAUGUUAUGAAGAUUAUUCAGAGUUUCAUGACGGUUGUUAAUCCUGCAAGUUUUUUGAAAAAUCAUUUCAAGUUAGACGCUCCCUAUAGUAACGAGGAGAUCAAUGCCGUACGAGAUGAGUUGGCCGAAUUUGUGAAGCCAUUGAUUAUAGAUUAAGUACUUAAGGUUACGACACUUUUGAUAUAAUACAUGAGUAACAAGUUUUAUGAUUAUUGUUAUCUUUUGCAUAUAUUAUUAGUUUAUAUUUAGUUUACGAUAUACAUGGAAUUUAAGUUUUAGAAUCGAUUUUAUUAACAAUUUUGGUAUUGUGUGAUUAGUUAAUAGAAUCGAUUACUAAUUUAAUAUAAGUUUUAAAAAUGUUAUUUUAA